GCCUUGUUUAAAGGUCCAGUGGAUCAAUGACUAUAAAGGACGUGGUGUAUUUGCCUGUGCACCGAUUGAAAAGGGAUCCUUUGUGGUGGAAUACCGUGGAGAGUUAAUCUCACAACAUGAACGAGACAAGCGGCAGAAAAAAUACACAGAGAAGCAAAAUGCUUUCCUGUUUGAUUUUGAAUGGAACAACAGCACAUGGUGCAUCGAUGCCUCCCAUGAAGAUGACUCAAUGGGCCGGCUGGUUAAUGAUGCCCACAAGUCCCCAAACUGCAAAAUGAAAAAGCUGAC